CGGUCAGUCGAUAUCCCAGCAUCCUUUGCGCGUCGACACGAAGGAGCGUAUUCUUCCGGAGCCCACCGAGGACACAUCGAGAAACCUCCCAAGUAUCGUUAAAACGUGAGAUUGAAGCUCAUAAAGAUGGCUGAUACUGUUGAGACAAAGAUCCAGAACUACAGGACGGCUCCCUUUGACGCCAGAUUCCCAAACACCAACCAGACCCGCAACUGCUACCAGAACUACCUGGACUUCCACAGGUGCACUAAGGCCCUCUCGACAAAGGACCAGGAUGUGGCUCCCUGUGAUUGGUACCAGAGGGUUUACAAGAGCCUCUGUCCCACGAGCUGGGUUGGCAAAUGGGACGAGCAGAUAGAGGGUGGAAGUUUCGCAGGGAAAAUCUAAAAUCUGCCGUUGGUGAUCCGGACAGUCCCCUGCAGGACCUUCUGUUACCGCACCUUUACCCCUAUAGUGUGCCGAAGGACAUUUUCAAACAGCUAACGCAUUAUCAUCAUUGAUGUUAAUGUUAUGGAAAUACGCACAACUUUUUACCCUCCAUGUUGAGGUCUUAAGUUUUUUCCGUGUCAAUUUUAAACUUCUCUCUGGUUUUGCUUUAUCAAUAAAUAAAGUGCAGAUUGAAAUAAAAGGAUGUGUUAAAUAACAAAACAAAAAAAAAAAUAAAAAAAAAAAAUAAUAAAAA